rnacentral:rRNA from 1 species
GGGCCCGCACAAGCGGUGGAGCAUGUGGUUUAAUUCGACGCAACGCGAAGAACCUUACCCAGACUUGACAUGCAUUAGACGGGUGUGGAAACACACCUUCCCUUCGGGGCUGGUGCACAGGUGCUGCAUGGCUGUCGUCAGCUCGUGUCGUGAGAUGUUGGGUUAAGUCCCGCAACGAGCGCAACCCUUGUCCUUAGUUGCUAACGGAUAAAGCCGAGCACUCUAAGGAGACUGCCGGUGAUAAACCGGAGGAAGGUGGGGAUGACGUCAAGUCCUCAUGGCCCUUACGUCUGGGGCUACACACGUGCUACAAUGGCCGGCACAAAGGGUUCCGAUACCGCGAGGUGGAGGCAAUCUCAAAAAACCGGUCUCAGUUCGGAUCGCAGUCUGCAACUCGACUGCGUGAAGUCGGAAUCGCUAGUAAUCGCUGAUCAGCAGGCAGCGGUGAAUACGUUCCCGGGCCUU